rnacentral:rRNA from 1 species
UGAAUACGAGACGCUAAGGCGUCGAAGUAGUGUAUGUCAUACUUCCAAGAAAAGCUUGCACUGUCAUAGAUAAAAAACGCCUGUACCAUAACCGACACAGGUGGGUAGGUAGAGUAUACUAAGGGGCGCGAGAUAACUCUCUCUAAGGAACUCGGCAAAAUAACUCCGUAACUUCGGGAGAAGGAGUGCCUUAUUCGUAAGGUUGCAAUAACAAGAUCCAAGCAACUGUUUAUCGAAACCACAGGUCUCCGCUAAGUCGUAAGACGAUGUAUGGGGGCUGACGCCUGCCCAGUGCCAGAAGGUUAAAGAAGUUGGUUAGCAAUUGCGAAGCUGAUAACUGAACCCCUGGUGAACGGCGGCCGUAACGAUAACGGUCCUAAGGUAGCGAAAUUCCUUGUCGGGUAAGUUCCGACCCGCACGAAAGGCGUAAUGAUUUGGAUACUGUCUCGGAGAGGGGCUCGGUGAAAUAGACUUGUCUGUGAAGAUGCGGACUACCUGCACCAGGACAGAAAGACCCUAUGAAGCUUUACUGUAACUUGAAAUUGAAAUUGGACUUUAUUCGCGCAGUAUAGGUGGGAGGCGUUGAUUAUAAUCUUGUGGGAUUAUUGGAGCCAUCAGUGAGAUACCACUCUUGUAAUGUUAGAUUUCUAACUUUGAAUCAUUAUCUGGUCAAAGAACAGUUUCAGGCGGGCAGUUUGACUGGGGCGGUCGCCUCCUAAACGGUAACGGAGGCGUACAAAGGUUUCCUCUGAACGGUUAGAAAUCGUAUCUAGAGUGUAAAGGCAUAAGGAAGCUUGACUGUGAGACCUACAAGUCGAGCAGGGACGAAAGUCGGUCUUAGUGAUCUGACGGUACUGUGUGGAAAGGCCGUCACUCAACGGAUAAAAGUUACUCUAAGGAUAACAGGCUGAUCUCCCCCAAGAGUUCACAUCGACGGGGAGGUUUGGCACCUCGAUGUCGGCUCAUCGCAUCCUGGGGCGGUAGUACGUCCCAAGGGUUGGGCUGUUCGCCCAUGAAAGCGGUACGCGAGCUGGGUUCAGAACGUCGUGAGACAGUUCGGUCCAUAUCCGGUGUAGGCGUUAGAAUAUUGAGAGGAGCCUUCUUUAGUACGAGAGGACCGAGAAGGACAUACCUCUGGUGUACCAGUUAUCGUGCCAACGGUAAACGCUGGGUAGCUAUGUAUGGAGUGGAUAACCGCUGAAAGCAUCUAAGUGGGAAGC